AUAGGCAUGUUGAUAGAGAAGAGUAGUAUAAUGCUUCAUUUUAGAGAGGUGAUAUUUGGUGAGAAUCACUAUGAGUGUUUUAUGAAAGGAACUCUUGAGUGCGCAGUUAUGAAAGUAGGGCUUAUUGCCAAGAAGGGUGGAACCGCGGAAAAUGUUUUUCGUCCCUUUA
rnacentral:ncRNA from 1 species